rnacentral:rRNA from 1 species
UGGACGUUACUCGCAGAAUAAGCACCGGCUAACUCUGUGCCAGCAGCCGCGGUAAUACAGAGGGUGCAAGCGUUAAUCGGAUUUACUGGGCGUAAAGCGCGCGUAGGUGGCCAAUUAAGUCAAAUGUGAAAUCCCCGAGCUUAACUUGGGAAUUGCAUUCGAUACUGGUUGGCUAGAGUAUGGGAGAGGAUGGUAGAAUUCCAGGUGUAGCGGUGAAAUGCGUAGAGAUCUGGAGGAAUACCGAUGGCGAAGGCAGCCAUCUGGCCUAAUACUGACACUGAGGUGCGAAAGCAUGGGGAGCAAACAGGAUUAGAUACCCUGGUAGUCCAUGCCGUAAACGAUGUCUACUAGCCGUUGGGGCCUUUGAGGCUUUAGUGGCGCAGCUAACGCGAUAAGUAGACCGCCUGGGGAGUACNGUCGCAAGACUAAAACUCAAAUGAAUUGACGGGGGCCCGCACAAGCGGUGGAGCAUGUG